CAGUAGCCGCGGGAAUACGGAGGGUGCAAGCGUUAAUCGGAAUUACUGGGCGUAAAGCGCACGCAGGCGGUCUGUCGAGUCAAAUGUGAAAUCCCCGGGCUUAACCUGGGAACUGCAUUUGAAACUGGCAGGCUAGAGUCUUGUAGAGGGGGGUAGAAUUCCAGGUGUAGCGGUGAAAUGCGUAGAGAUCUGGAGGAAUACCGGUGGCGAAGGCGGCCCCCUGGACAAAGACUGACGCUCAGGUGCGAAAGCGUGGGGAGCAAACAGGAUUAGAUACCCGGGUAGUCCCUGUCUCUUAUAA
rnacentral:rRNA from 1 species